rnacentral:lncRNA from 10 species
UUGUGAAUCCAUCUGGUCCAGGUUAGUUGGCAAGGGUCUGCUGCUUCACUCCUGAAGUCAGCUAGACCAUGAACCCACCAGGAGGAACAAACUCUGGACACACCAUCUUUAAGAACUGUAACACUCACUGGGAGGAGCCACAGCUUCAUUCUUGAAGUCAGCAAGACCAAGAACCUACCGGAAGUAACCAAUUCCAGAUACAAUGUCAUACUACAUUUCAACAAAC